UACAGAGACUGCAAGCGUUAUUCGGAUUCACUGGGCGUAAAGGGUGCGCAGGCGGCCGUGUGUGUGAGGCGUGAAAGCCUGGAGCUUAACUCCAGAAUUGCACCUCAAACUACACGGCUAGAGCAUUGGAGAGGGUAGCAGAAUUCACGGUGUAGCAGUGAAAUGCGUAGAUAUCGUGAGGAAUACCAGAGGCGAAGGCGGCUACCUGGACAAUUGCUGACGCUCAGGCACGAAAGCUAGGGGAGCAAAAGGG
rnacentral:rRNA from 1 species